rnacentral:rRNA from 1 species
UACGUAGGGGGCUAGCGUUGUCCGGAAUCAUUGGGCGUAAAGCGCGCGUAGGCGGCCCGGUAAGUCCGUUGUGAAAGUCAAAGGCUCAACCUUUGAAAGCCGAUGGAUACUGCCGGGCUAGAGUCCGGAAGAGGCGAGUGGAAUUCCUGGUGUAGCGGUGAAAUGCGCAGAUAUCAGGAAGAACACCAAUGGCGAAAGCAGCUCUCUGGGACGGUACUGACGCUGAGACGCGAAAGCGUGGGGAGCGAACAGG